CCUACGGGUGGCUGCAGUGGGGAAUAUUGGACAAUGGGGGCAACCCUGAUCCAGCCAUGCCGCGUGUGUGAAGAAGGCCCUCGGGUUGUAAAGCACUUUCAGUGAGGAAGAACGCCUGGUGGUUAAUACCCAUCAGGAAAGACAUCACUCACAGAAGAAGCACCGGCUAACUCCGUGCCAGCAGCCGCGGUAAUACGGAGGGUGCGAGCGUUAAUCGGAAUUACUGGGCGUAAAGCGCGCGUAGGUGGCUUGAUAAGCCGGUUGUGAAAGCCCCGGGCUCAACCUGGGAACGGCAUCCGGAACUGUCAAGCUAGAGUGCAGGAGAGGAAGGUAGAAUUCCCGGUGUAGCGGUGAAAUGCGUAGAGAUCGGGAGGAAUACCAGUGGCGAAGGCGGUCUUCUGGACUGACACUGACACUGAGGUGCGAAAGCGUGGGUAGCAAACAGGAUUAGAUACCCUGGUAGUC
rnacentral:rRNA from 1 species